rnacentral:sRNA from 21 species
UAUUAUUGCAGAUAGAGAAAUCUAUACUGUCUAAUUUCUAUGAAACUGAAUGCAAAUUUAAGCGACUUUAUAAAGUCAUCAGACAUAGAGCCACUUACAAUGUAGGUGGUAUUUUUUGUA